rnacentral:rRNA from 1 species
AGCGCAGGCGGUGCGGCAAGUCUGAUGUGAAAGCCCACGGCUCAACCGUGGAGGGUCAUUGGAAACUGGGAGACUUGAGUGCAGAAGAGGAUAGUGGAAUUCCAAGUGUAGCGGUGAAAUGCGUAGAGAUUUGGAGGAACACCAGUGGCGAAGGCGACUGUCUGGUCUGUAACUGACACUGAGGCGCGAAAGCGUGGGAGCAAACA